GAUCUCUUGUGAUGUAUAGCACUGGGCUCAGAAAAUCAGUGAUGAAAGAAGUGCAGCUCUGCCCCUGACAAGGCAGACUCUGAGGAGACU
ensembl:snoRNA